UACGAAGGGGGCUAGCGUUGCUCGGAAUCACUGGGCGUAAAGGGUGCGUAGGCGGAUCGUUAAGUCGGGGGUGAAAUCCUGGAGCUCAACUCCAGAACUGCCUUCGAUACUGGCGAUCUUGAGUCCGGAAGAGGUGAGUGGAACUCCUAGUGUAGAGGUGGAAUUCGUAGAUAUUAGGAAGAACACCAGUGGCGAAGGCGGCUCACUGGUCCGGUACUGACGCUGAGGUGCAAAAGCGUGGGGAGCAAACAGGG
rnacentral:rRNA from 1 species